UACGGAAGGCAGCAGUGGGGAAUAUUGCACAAUGGGCGCAAGCCUGAUGCAGCCAUGCCGCGUGUAUGAAGAAGGCCUUCGGGUUGUAAAGUACUUUCAGUCGUGAGGAAGGUGUUAAGGUUAAUAACCUUAGCAAUUGACGUUAGCGACAGAAGAAGCACCGGCUAACUCCGUGCCAGCAGCCGCGGUAAUACGGAGGGUGCGAGCGUUAAUCGGAAUUACUGGGCGUAAAGGGCACGCAGGCGAUUAAUUAAGUUGGAUGUGAAAUCCCCGGGCUUAACCUGGGAAUGGCAUUCAAGACUGGUUAGCUAGAGUCUUGUAGAGGGGGUAGAAUUCCAUGUGUAGCGGUGAAAUGCGUAGAGAUGUGGAGGAAUACCGGUGGCGAAGGCGGCCCCUGGGACAAAGACUGACGCUCAUGUGCGAAAGCGUGGGGAGCAAACAGGGAUUAGAUACC
rnacentral:rRNA from 1 species